rnacentral:tRNA from 1 species
GACAUCUUAUUGGAAUUGAACCAAUAGUAUAAUGCUUCGAAGGCAACUGCUUUACCAAUUAAGCUAAAGAUGU